rnacentral:rRNA from 1 species
UACAGGGGGUGCAAACGUUGCUCGGAAUUAUUGGGCGUAAAGCGCACGUAGGCGGUUUGUUAUGUCGGAUGUGAAAGCCCUUGGCUCAACUGAGGAAGUGCAUCCGAAACUGGCAAGCUAGAGUAUGUAAGAGGGUCGCGGAAUUCCCGGUGUAGAGGUGAAAUGCGUAGAUAUCUGGAGGAACACCGGUGGCGAAGGCGGCGUUCUGGACUGCAACUGACACUGAGGAACGAAAGCCAGGGGAGCAAACGGG